UACGUAGGUGGCAAGCGUUGUCCGGAUUUACUGGGUGUAAAGGGCGUGCAGGCGGUUUGUUAAGUGCAGGGUGAAAGCUCCCGGCUCAACUGGGAGAGGUCCUUGCAUACUGGCAAACUCGAGGGAGGCAGAGGAAAGUGGAAUUCCCGGUGUAGCGGUGAAAUGCGCAGAUAUCGGGAGGAACACCUAUGGCGAAGGCAGCUCGCUGGGACGUUACUGACGCUGAGACGCGAAAGCGUGGGGAGCAAACAGG
rnacentral:rRNA from 1 species